GAAUUCGCCCUUAGAGUUUGAUCCUGGCUCAGGAUGAACGCUGGCGGCGUGCCUAACACAUGCAAGUCGAGCGAAGCACUUUGCUUUGAUUCUUUCGGGAGGAAAAGUAAUUUGACUGAGCGGCGGACGGGUGAGUAACGCGUGGGUAACCUGCCUCAUACAGGGGGAUAACAGUUAGAAAUGACUGCUAAUACCGCAUAAGCGCACAGGACCGCAUGGUCCGGUGUGAAAAACUCCGGUGGUAUGAGAUGGACCCGCGUCUGAUUAGUUAGUUGGCGGGGUAACGGCCCACCAAGGCGACGAUCGGUAGCCGGACUGAGAGGUUGAACGGCCACAUUGGGACUGAGACACGGCCCAGACUCCUACGGGAGGCAGCAGUGGGGGAUAUUGCACAAUGGGGGAAACCCUGAUGCAGCAACGCCGCGUGAGGGAAGAAGGUUUUCGGAUUGUAAACCUCUGUCCUAGGUGAAGAUAAUGACGGUAACCUGGGAGGAAGCUCCGGCUAACUACGUGCCAGCAGCCGCGGUAAUACGUAGGGAGCGAGCGUUGUCCGGAAUUACUGGGUGUAAAGGGUGCGUAGGCGGCCUUGUGGGUCAGGCGUGAAAUACAUGGGCUUAACCCAUGGACUGCGCUUGAAACUAUAAGGCUUGAGUGAAGUAGAGGCAGGUGGAAUUCCCGGUGUAGCGGUGAAAUGCGUAGAGAUCGGGAGGAACACCAGUGGCGAAGGCGGCCUGCUGGGCUUUAACUGACGCUGAGGCACGAAAGCAUGGGUAGCAAACAGGAUUAGAUACCCUGGUAGUCCAUGCCGUAAACGAUGAUUACUAGGUGUGGGUGGACUGACCCCAUCCGUGCCGGAGUUAACACAAUAAGUAUCCCACCUGGGGAGUACGAUCGCAAGGUUGAAACUCAAAGGAAUUGACGGGGGCCCGCACAAGCGGUGGAUUAUGUGGUUUAAUUCGAUGCAACGCGAAGAACCUUACCAGGGCUUGACAUCCUGCUAACGAGGUAGAGAUACGUCAGGUGCCCUUCGGGGAAGGCAGAGACAGGUGGUGCAUGGUUGUCGUCAGCUCGUGUCGUGAGAUGUUGGGUUAAGUCCCGCAACGAGCGCAACCCUUAUUGUUAGUUGCUACGCAAGAGCACUCUAGCGAGACUGCCGUUGACAAAACGGAGGAAGGUGGGGACGACGUCAAAUCAUCAUGCCCCUUAUGUCCUGGGCUACACACGUAAUACAAUGGCGGUAAACAGAGGGAUGCAAAACUGCGAAGUGGAGCGAACCCCUAAAAGCCGUCCCAGUUCAGAUUGCAGUCUGCAACUCGACUGCAUGAAGUCGGAAUCGCUAGUAAUCGCGGAUCAGCAUGCCGCGGUGAAUACGUUCCCGGGCCUUGUACACACCGCCCGUCA
rnacentral:rRNA from 1 species